GUAGCCUACUUGCUGGUUGUUCAGAAUGAAGUAUUCGACAUCCGAGGCUCCCUGCAUGGGAAUUUCGAACGUCAUUCCGGUGUAGAAUGCAGGACGAGUAAUCGAGAACUCGCUAGCCUUGGUAGCGAAGGUAAUUGGCAAUGGCCAUGCGGUUUGUUCGUUGUGAUCAGGUUCAUUGACGAGGAAGCGUUUCUGGGUGAUGGUGAAUCCAGUGUCGUGGCUGGUAACAGUGACCAGAGGAUAGCCAGGCUGAACCGUCCACGGUUCCAUGUAGGAUCUGGCAUUGGGAUC